AAGCGUGUCAUGUCUGCAAAUGUUACGCAACGAUCUACAGAACAGGACGCACAGGUUCCCUGCUUGGAACAGCUUGACAGCCCAGGCGCCAUAAUGCAGAUUCAGUCCUGGUGCCCACACAUCGAGGGGAAAGGAACCCUCGUCCUCUACAAUAUAUAUAUAGAGCUUAUUAUAUUAAUAAAGUAUAAUAAUGUAAUAGCCAGGAUGCAGGUUUCUUCACUUUUAUAUGUCAGGCAGGGUGAAAGGUCAGAGGGCAGUCCUGGGUCACGCAGGCAGGGUCAGGAGGGUGGGACGUGCUGUUAGGGCUCAGGUGUUCGGGACACUUUCCACACCUGACGUCAGCCAGCUCCUGGAAAGGAGAGCUGGUGCCUCCAUCUGUGCACGGGCACAUCCGUGAGGGAUAACGUGGAAUGGAUCGGGAUGUGGUUUCAGGCUGGAAUCCCCCACUAAUCCCAUAUAUGCAAACACUAAUGAGGUGUGAAUUCCCUGCACAGCGGUCCUGUGGUCUGCAAGCAGAGCUGCCGGCUAGCUCAAGCCAGCGCAGACCUAGAGUUGUCAAUCUCCUGUAACUCCAGUACUGCCCCAACAAGCCAGCGUUCUGCACAGCCGCCCGAGCAGGCCCGGCCUUUAGGCACAGGUGCUGGGACAGCGCUGACAAUCUUGCCUCUUGCAGAUGGACUCUCACAAAAGGACACAGCAUGACGAAAAGAAUGGAAAAGUGACCCAGCACACACACAGAGAGUGGAGGUGUGUCUUUACAAACGAAGCGGCACUCUCUGCAAAUGCAAAAAAGGCCUGGGAGAAGGAAUAACACAUUUCAGGUGCUGAGCAGCUAAAUAUCAAAGUGGAGACUGCAGGCAGACUGAGUGGGAGUGAAGAAGCACACUGUAGCGAUCUUCCUCAGCAGCCAAAAGCAACAAAAACUCUCAAGUGAAGCUUCCGAAAGAUAGCGGAGCAAUUCCAUUCUGUAAUGUAUGUACAAAUUAGAUUCUUUCUCUCCUUUUUUUUCCCAAAUAAAAACAGAU